rnacentral:misc_RNA from 1 species
GAAAACAUGAUAAAUGUAGGUAUUAGGGCGUGUUUUAACGAUAUCAUUUGCGAGUUGGUGUGUGUAUUCUGCUUUUUUUAUUUUUAUUUUGCUUGAUAGAUUGAAAAUUUUGAAAUCAGUUUGUUUUUCUGUUUGUUGAUUUUGUGGAAGGGGAAUUUGCUAUUUGAUGAACUGGUAAUUCGAUUCUAAUGUUUGAUAAAAUAGAAGGUUAUCAUGUUCUGUUUAAAGUUUUAUCUACUUCCAUUAGAGAAUGAUAUAUUUACCUUUUAAGCAGUAUGGAGAUGUUCAUAGGAUAACUAAAUGCACCUUGGCUUAUAGGAAAUAUUGAUGUCAGACCAACCGUUUAGUCUAUAAUUGUCAAAUUGUGUUUUUGUGGUGGAUGUUAAUUAUAGAUCAAUCAACAUUGUUAUACACGUGGUUAUUUAGAGCUUUACACAGCUAAUUUAAUUCACAUUUUUUCCCAUGCAAAAGGAAUGAGAAGCAUAGGAUGGAAAGUUUAUGCAAGUACUUUGGAUUGAAUGUUAUGGGAUGAACCUUAUAUUUCCGCACUAGUAAUUUCUGACUAAAAACUAGGUAUAAGAGGCAACAAUUUUUGUACUUUACGAAGUCUGAAUAUCAAUUCUCAGAAGCUGAAGAAUAUUUCAUUAUGGCAAAAUGAGAGUCAGCUAUUACAUCUGAAACUGAAGGAAAAAAAAAAUGAAGAAGAAG